AAAGCAUUAGCAACUUGGUGUCAUUAAUUACCAAAACCAAACUUGGACUUUUAAGGGCUUUGGACGAUGCACGAAAUCUACAAUUGUAUUGGCUUUCUUGCGCUCUGGGGUUAAAAAAACCUUUAGUUUCGGCCCAUAACACGAGCUGAGACUAAAGGAUCCUGCCCAACGGCUGCCUAAUGGCUACCUGGCAGAGCUGUCGGGGUAGGGACCCUUUAGUCUCGGCUCGUGUUAGGGCCGGGACUAAAGUGGUCCCUUUAGUCCGGGGCAAGCCACCAGCCGGGACUAAAGAUGUAGCCCCGGUUGGUGGCUUGCCCUAAGACUAAAAGGAUGUAGCCCCUGUUCUUUCUUCAGCCCGGGACUAAAGAUGUAGCCCCUGUUCUUUCUUCAGCCCGGGACUAAAAGCCCACGCUAUAAAUCACGAUCACUUCUUUCUGGUCGAUACUGAGCCCAUUCAAAUUUCAGUGAGCUGUUUUUGCUUGUUCUUGCUCUUGCCAUUGCUAGUUUUUACUUGUUCUUCAUCUCCGACGCCUAUUGGUGAUCAUCUUCGACGUCGCCAUCGUUUCCCUCGAUCUAGGGUUUGAAUCGACGUCAUCGAUGCCUAUUGGUGAUCUUCUUCGACUUCACCAUCGACUUUUUGUGUUUAUAGGAACAGCUUACUGAUGUUGCCAUGCAGCGCCAGCAGGAGAAACAACAAGCUCCUUUGCAGCGUCACUGUGAUGGCCUUGAGGUAGGCGACAGAGGAGACCUCGUGGGUGUGCUUGUUCAUGAUGUGCUCGUACAGACCCACGUUCAUGCCGCGGUAGCUACAGCCAUCGUCGAUGCCUCUAAUCUACGACUCAUGUCUAUGAAUAGCUUUCACUGGAUACUCAUAGCCAUCGAUUUUGAUGAAAAUAAGGUUUUAAUUUAUGACUCAAUGCGGAAACCGCAAGAAGAUUAUCAAGAUAUGAUAGACAUCAUCCAAGGGUAUAUUCGAUCCAUUGCAUAGUAGACUAAGAAGCUUGUAUACUUAACGAUAUCCGACUCUUAUUUCUUAUCAUUGGUUUAGGGUCUGGGAGGUCUUCAUUGCCCGAGAACAUAUGACUAAAUGUAGAGCACCACUAAAAGUAAUACAUCUACCAUGGAUUUUGAAACAAGAACCGGGCAACAACUUAUGUGGAUACUACGUUUGCGAGUAUAUAAUAGUUCAAUCAAAUAGAAUUUCUGAAGAAUAACUCAGAACUGAAUGGUUGAAGCAAAAACUCAUGCAACAUGAACAAUUCCAAGCAAUACAAGAGGCACUAGCAGGAUUUCUUCGGAAACAAGUCAUAAGUCCAAGCGGCGAGUUCCACUAUAAUCCUAACAAUGAUGAUCAUUUGUAUGCCGUGUAGAUCUUUGGAUGAUGGAGUUCAAAAUGUAAUAGGUUUAGAGUACUAACUUUGGAGUACAACUUGUGAUAGAUUUGGAGAACAACUUCUAUAUAUAUAGCUUGUAAUUUUAUGUGCAUAAAAUUA